AACCCCUCCCCAGCCCCUUGGACUAUGUGAGGUUUUGGUCUGUAAAUGGUCCUGCUGUGAGCUAUCCAAAUGCAAAUGGAGUCGUCCAUGACACAGCAGUUUACAGUGGAGGUGACACAACAAAUGACUGACUGGAACCAGGCAGACACUGGAUGAGCCACCAGACUGUGGCUGUGGACCACAACCACAAAAAGGCUGGAGCACAAUCCACAAACUGUGGAAGGUGUACACCGUCUGCAAAACAGUGAAGGAAACAACAGACGUAUGAACCAGAGCAAAGACUGAGCUCACCCACACUGAAGCAGGGACUGCUCAUUUAACGGCAGCUCCAGCUGAAGGUCCAGGCUGGAAUGGAGUAGAAAGUGGAGUCCUGUUGAUUCAAGAGCUUUAACCCUUUCAUGCAUACUGGUCACUCCAGUG